rnacentral:rRNA from 1 species
GACGAACGCUGGCGGCGUGCUUAACACAUGCAAGUCGAACGGGAAGGCCCUGCUUUUGUGGGGUGCUCGAGUGGCGAACGGGUGAGUAACACGUGAGUAACCUGCCCUUGACUUUGGGAUAACUUCAGGAAACUGGGGCUAAUACCGGAUAGGAGCUCCUGCUGCAUGGUGGGGGUUGGAAAGUUUCGGCGGUUGGGGAUGGACUCGCGUCUGAUCAGCUUGUUGGUGGGGUAGUGGCUUACCAAGGCUUUGACGGGUAGCCGGGCUGAGAGGGUGAUCGGCGGGGUGGGGAUGGGGACACGGCCGAGACGCCGAGGGGGGGCGGCGGUGGGGAGUAUGGGGCCCGGGGGGUUGGCCUGCUAUAGCAACGCGGCGUGAGUGAUAGAGGCCGUAGGGUGGAAAAGCUCUUUGACAAGGGAUGAGAAUGACGGUACCGGGAGAAUAAGCGCCGGCUAACUCCGUG